GACGAACGCUGGCGGCGUGCUUAACACAUGCAAGUCGAACGGAAAGGCCCUGCUUUUGUGGGGUGCUCGAGUGGCGAACGGGUGAGUAACACGUGAGUAACCUGCCCUUGACUUUGGGAUAACUUCAGGAAACUGGGGCUAAUACCGGAUAGGAGCUCCUGCUGCAUGGUGGGGGUUGGAAAGUUUCGGCGGUUGGGGAUGGACUCGCGGCUUAUCAGCUUGUUGGUGGGGUAGUGGCUUACCAAGGCUUUGACGGGUAGCCGGCCUGAGAGGGUGACCGGCCACAUGGGGACUGAGAGACGGCCCAGACUCCUACGGGAGGCAGCAGGGGGGAAUAUGGCACAAUGGGCGGAAGCCUGAUGCAGCAACGCCGCGUGCGGGAGGACGGCCUUCGGGUGGUAAACCGCUUUCGCCUGUGACGAAGCGUGAGUGACGGUAAUGGGUAAAGAAGCACCGGCGAACUACGU
rnacentral:rRNA from 1 species